rnacentral:rRNA from 1 species
AGUGAACGCUGGCGGUAGGCCUAACACAUGCAAGUCGAACGGCAGCACAGUAAGAGCUUGCUCUUACGGGUGGCGAGUGGCGGACGGGUGAGUAAUACAUCGGAAUCUACUUUUUCGUGGGGGAUAACGUAGGGAAACUUACGCUAAUACCGCAUACGACCUACUGGUGAAAGCAGGGGAUCUUCGGACCUUGCGCGAUUGAAUGAGCCUAUGUCGGAUUAGCUAGUUGGCGGGGUAAAGGCCCACCAAGGCGACGAUCCGUAGCUGGUCUGAGAGGAUGAACAGACACACUGGAACUGAGACACGGUACAGACUCCUACGGGAGGCAGCAGUGGGGAAUAUUGGACAAUGGGGGAAAGCCUGAUACAGCAAUACCGCGUGGGUGAAGAAGGACUUCGGGUUGGAAAGCCCUUUUGUUGGGAAAGAAAAGAAGCAGGUUAAUACCCGGCUGUUCUGACGGUACCCAAAGAAUAAGCACCGGCUAACUUCGUG